rnacentral:rRNA from 1 species
AGAGUUUGAUCCUGGCUCAGGAUGAACGCUGGCGGCGUGCUUAACACAUGCAAGUCGAGCGAGAAAAGUUCUUCGGAGCUUUUCUAGCGGCGGACGGGUGAGUAACACGUGGGCAACCUGCCUCAUAGAGGGGAAUAGCCUUCCGAAAGGAAGAUUAAUACCGCAUAACAUUGUUGAAAGGCAUCUUUUAACAAUCAAAGGAGCAAUCCGCUAUGAGAUGGGCCCGCGGCGCAUUAGCUAGUUGGUGAGGUAACGGCUCACCAAGGCGACGAUGCGUAGCCGACCUGAGAGGGUGAUCGGCCACAUUGGAACUGAGACACGGUCCAGACUCCUACGGGAGGCAGCAGUGGGGAAUAUUGCACAAUGGGGGAAACCCUGAUGCAGCAACGCCGCGUGAGUGAUGAAGGUCUUCGGAUUGUAAAGCUCUGUCUUUAGGGACGAUAAUGACGGUACCUAAGGAGGAAGCUCCGGCUAACUACGUGCCAGCAGCCGCGGUAAUACGUAGGGAGCGAGCGUUAUCCGGAUUUAUUGGGCGUAAAGCGUGCGUAGGCGGUUUAUUAAGUUUAAGAUAAAAGCCCGGGGCUCAACUCCGGUUCGUCUUAAAAACUGGUAGACUUGAGUGUGGUAGAGGUAAAUGGAAUUUCUAGUGUAGCGGUGAAAUGCGUAGAUAUUAGAAGGAACACCAGUGGCGAAGGCGACUUGCUGGGCCAUCACUGACGCUGAGACACGAAAGCGUGGGGAGCAAAUAGGAUUAGAUACCCUAGUAGUCCACGCCGUAAACGAUGGAUACUAAGUGUCGGGCAACCGGUGCUGAAGUUAACACAUUAAAGGUAUCCCACCUGGGGAGUACGACCGCAAGGUUGAAACUCAAAGGAAUUGACGGGGGCCCGCACAAGCAGUGGAGGUAUGUGGUUUAAUUCGAAGCAACGCGAAGAACCUUACCUGGUCUUGACAUCCCGAUGACCGGUCUAGAGAUAGACUUUUCUCUUCGGAGACAUCGGUGACAGGUGGUGCAUGGUUGUCGUCAGCUCGUGUCGUGAGAUGUUGGGUUAAGUCCCGCAACGAGCGCAACCCCCGUCGCAUGUUGCCAGCGGUCCGGCCGGGCACCCAUGCGAGACCGCCGGCGUCAAGCCGGAGGAGGGUGGGGACGACGUCAAGUCAUCAUGCCCCUUAUGCGCUGGGCUGCACACGUGCUACAAUGGCCGGCACAAUGGGCUGCCACCGCGCGAGCGGGAGCGAAUCCCCAAAGCCGGCCCCAGUUCGGAUCGGAGGCUGCAACCCGCCUCCGUGAAGUCGGAGUUGCUAGUAAUCGCGGAUCAGCACGCCGCGGUGAAUGCGUUCCCGGGCCUUGCACUCACCGCCCGUCA